GACGAACGCUGGCGGCGUGCCUAAUACAUGCGAGUUGAGCGCUGAAGGUUGGUACUUGUACCAACUGGAUGAGCAGCGAACGGGUGAGUAACGCGUGGGGAAUCUGCCUUUGAGCGGGGGACAACAUUUGGAAACGAAUGCUAAUACCGCAUAAAAACUUUAAACACAAGUUUUAAGUUUGAAAGAUGCAAUUGCAUCACUCAAAGAUGAUCCCGCGUUGUAUUAGCUAGUUGGUGAGGUAAAGGCUCACCAAGGCGAUGAUACAUAGCCGACCUGAGAGGGUGAUCGGCCACAUUGGGACUGAGACACGGCCCAAACUCCUACGGGAGGCAGCAGCAGGGAAUCUUCGGCAAUAGACGAAAGUCUGACCGAGCAACGCCGCGUGAGUGAAGAAGGUUGUCGGAUCGUAAAACUCUGUUGGUAGAGAAGAACGUUGGUGAGAGUGGAAAGCUCAUCAAGUGACGGUAACUACCCAGAAAGGGACGGCUAACUACGUG
rnacentral:rRNA from 1 species